UACGUAGGGUGCAAGCGUUAAUCGGAAUUACUGGGCGUAAAGGGCUCGUAGGUGGCCAACUAAGUCAGACGUGAAAUCCCUCGGCUUAACCGGGGAACUGCGUCUGAUACUGGAUGGCUUGAGUUCGGGAGAGGGAUGCGGAAUUCCAGGUGUAGCGGUGAAAUGCGUAGAUAUCUGGAGGAACACCGGUGGCGAAGGCGGCAUCCUGGACCGACACUGACACUGAGGAGCGAAAGCCAGGGGAGCAAACGGG
rnacentral:rRNA from 1 species